AGAGUUUGAUCAUGGCUCAGAUUGAACGCUGGCGGCAGGCCUAACACAUGCAAGUCGAACGGUAACAGGAAACAGCUUGCUGUUUCGCUGACGAGUGGCGGACGGGUGAGUAAUGUCUGGGAAACUGCCUGAUGGAGGGGGAUAACUACUGGAAACGGUAGCUAAUACCGCAUAACGUCGCAAGACCAAGGAGGGGGACCCUCGGGCCUCUUGCCAUCGGAUGUGCCCAGAUGGGAUUAGCUUGUUGGUGGGGUAACGGCUCACCAAGGCGACGAUCCCUAGCUGGUCUGAGAGGAUGACCAGCCACACUGGAACUGAGACACGGUCCAGACUCCUACGGGAGGCAGCAGUGGGGAAUAUUGCACAAUGGGCGCAAGCCUGAUGCAGCCAUGCCGCGUGUAUGAAGAAGGCCUUCGGGUUGUAAAGUACUUUCAGCGGGGAGGAAGGGAGUAAAGUUAAUACCUUUGCUCAUUGACGUUACCCGCAGAAGAAGCACCGGCUAACUCCGUGCCAGCAGCCGCGGUAAUACGGAGGGUGCAAGCGUUAAUCGGAAUUACUGGGCGUAAAGCGCACGCAGGCGGUUUGUUAAGUCAGAUGUGAAAUCCCCGGGCUCAACCUGGGAACUGCAUCUGAUACUGGCAAGCUUGAGUCUCGUAGAGGGGGGUAGAAUUCCAGGUGUAGCGGUGAAAUGCGUAGAGAUCUGGAGGAAUACCGGUGGCGAAGGCGGCCCCCUGGACGAAGACUGACGCUCAGGUGCGAAAGCGUGGGGAGCAAACAGGAUUAGAUACCCUGGUAGUCCACGCCGUAAACGAUGUCGACUUGGAGGUUGUGCCCUUGAGGCGUGGCUUCCGGAGCUAACGCGUCAAGUCGACCGCCUGGGGAGUACGGCCGCAAGGUUAAACUCAAAUGAAUUGACGGGGGCCCGCACAAGCGGUGGAGCAUGUGGUUUAAUUCGAUGCAACGCGAAGAACCUUACCUGGUCUUGACAUCCACGGAAGUUUUCAGAGAUGAGAAUGUGCCUUCGGGAACCGUGAGACAGGUGCUGCAUGGCUGUCGUCAGCUCGUGUUGUGAAAUGUUGGGUUAAGUCCCGCAACGAGCGCAACCCUUAUCCUUUGUUGCCAGCGGUCCGGCCGGGAACUCAAAGGAGACUGCCAGUGAUAAACUGGAGGAAGGUGGGGAUGACGUCAAGUCAUCAUGGCCCUUACGACCAGGGCUACACACGUGCUACAAUGGCGCAUACAAAGAGAAGCGACCUCGCGAGAGCAAGCGGACCUCAUAAAGUGCGUCGUAGUCCGGAUUGGAGUCUGCAACUCGACUCCAUGAAGUCGGAAUCGCUAGUAAUCGUGGAUCAGAAUGCCACGGUGAAUACGUUCCCGGGCCUUGUACACACCGCCCGUCACACCAUGGGAGUGGGUUGCAAAAGAAGUAGGUAGCUUAACCUUCGGGAGGGCGCUUACCACUUUGUGAUUCAUGACUGGGGUGAAGUCGUAACAAGGUA
rnacentral:rRNA from 1 species